ACGGAGGGUGCAAACGUUGCUCGGAAUCAUUGGGCGUAAAGCGCGCGUAGGCGGCGAAGCAAGUUGGAUGUGAAAUCCCUGGGCUCAACCCAGGAUGUGCAUACAAAACUGCUUCGCUUGAAUCUCGGAGGGGGUCAGGGAAUUUCCGGUGUAGCGGUGAAAUGCGUAGAUAUCGGAAGGAACAUCAGUGGCGAAAGCGACUUCCUGGACCAAUACUGACGCUCAUGUGCGAAAGCGUGGGGAGCAAACAGGA
rnacentral:rRNA from 1 species